rnacentral:rRNA from 1 species
GAUGAACGCUGGCGGCGUGCCUAAUACAUGCAAGUCGAGCGAACAGACGAGGAGCUUGCUCCUCUGACGUUAGCGGCGGACGGGUGAGUAACACGUGGAUAACCUACCUAUAAGACUGGGAUAACUUCGGGAAACCGGAGCUAAUACCGGAUAAUAUAUUGAACCGCAUGGUUCAAUAGUGAAAGACGGUUUUGCUGUCACUUAUAGAUGGUUCCGCGCCGCAUUAGCUAGUUGGUAAGGUAACGGCUUACCAAGGCUACGAUGCGUAGCCGACCUGAGAGGGUGAUCGGCCACACUGGAACUGAGACACGGACCAGACGCCUACGGGAGGCAGCAGUAGGGUAUCUGCCGCAAUGGGCGAAAGCCUGACGGAGCAACGCCGCGUGAGUGAUGACGGUCUCCGGAUCGUAAAACUCUGUUAUUAGGGAAGAACAAAUGUGUAAGUAACUAUGCACGUCUUGACGGUACCUAAUCAGAAAGCCACGGCUAACUACGUG